rnacentral:rRNA from 1 species
CUACCAUGCAGUCGAGCGGUGUGGAGGUGCUUGCACUUUUUGUGAGCGGCGGACGGGUGAGUAAUGCUUAGGAAUCUGCCUGGUAGUGGGGGAUAACGUUUGGAAACGGAUGCUAAUACCGCAUACGUCCUACGGGAGAAAGCAGGGGAUCUUCGGGCCUUGCGCUAUUAGAUGAGCCUAAGUCGGAUUAGCUAGUUGGUGGGGUAAAGGCCUACCAAGGCGACGAUCCGUAACGGGUCUGAGAGGAUGAUCCGUCACACUGGAACUGAGACACGGUCCAGACUCCUACGGGAGGCAGCAGUGGGGAAUAUUGGACAAUGGGCGCAAGCCUGAUCCAGCCAUGCCGCGUGUGUGAAGAAGGUCUUCUGGUUGUAAAGCACUUUAAGUUGGGAGGAAGGUACUGAACCUAAUACCUUCGUGUUGUGAACGUUCCUCCAAAAUUAGCCCCCGGCUACUUCUGUGCCACCACCCGCGGUAUUACGAAGGGUGCAGCCGUUAUUCGAAUUACUGGGGCGUUAAGCGCGCGUAGUGGGUUAAUUAAGUUGGAUGUGAAAUCCCCGAGCUUAACCUGGGAACUGCAUUCGAUACUGUCUUAGCUAGAGUAGUGGGAGAAGGAUGGGUGGAAUUUCCAUGUGUAGCGGUGAAAUGCGUAGAUGAUACUGAGAGGACUACCAGAUGGGCGAAGGC